GGUUACAUAGGUAUGGAAAAAACUGCUUCGCUUGAUGACUAAGAUAAGAAAGAUGUAUUAAUUAGCAAGAAAAAUGUAUUUGGAGGUUAAUUUCUAAGAGUGUCUACUGGUACAAACGAUUCAGUUACUAUGUCUAAUCAAAAUAUGUUGACGAAUCAAAAUAGUUUGCAAUGAGUCUGAAUUAUGACUGAGCAUUUUUUAUCUGCAGUUCUGUCGUCUGCUAAAGAAAGCACUGACAAUUUCCACUUGGAUUAAUAAUUCUUCUAUGGGUAAACGUGUGCUGCAAUUGAUUGAGGGUAAUAUAGCAAAAAAAAACGUCGUUCUACCAUGGGUCAAGCACUCAAGCGAAGACAAGAAUUAAGACGAUAGUAUGGUUAAACAGAUACAAAUGUAUUAACAUUAGUGUUACGAUUGUCUGGUAACAUCAACAACGACAGAAUUGUUUUAUCGACAGAGACAAUACACGUGAUCGCUAUUUGUCCGUUACUGGAUUUCACACAGGUUCCAUUAAAAUGUUGACGUCAUAAUACAAAAUAUCUGACACCACAAUGGAAAACUGUUUGUCGUUUGACGUCAAUAGUUCAAGCGGUACAGGAUCUCGGGUCAGCCUGGAAUAACGAUAAGGUCACGGUGCCAGAUUUAGGGAACCAAAGUUCCUCUUAUGGAGCAACACAUAGACUAUUCGAACGUUUACUAGUCUGAGAACACGGGGAUUUCCCUUUGUUCAAAAUCCUCGGUCUCCAUCUGAUCAAUGCAGAAAACACAAAAGGAGUUUUUC